rnacentral:hammerhead_ribozyme from 1 species
GCACUGCUGAGGAGUCCCAUAAUAGGAAGAAACGGUCGUCCAGUGC